AAAAUCCGUCGAAUUUCUUAAAUCGUGAGGGUUCAAGUCCCUCUAUCCCCC
rnacentral:tRNA from 1 species